UACGUAGGGUGCGAGCGUUAAUCGGAAUUACUGGGCGUAAAGCGUGCGCAGGCGGUUAUCUGAGUCCGAUGUGAAAGCCCCGGGCUUAACCUGGGAAUGGCAUUGGAAACUGGCACGCUGGAGUGUGGCAGAGGGGGGUGGAAUUCCGCGUGUAGCAGUGAAAUGCGUAGAGAUGCGGAGGAACACCGAUGGCGAAGGCAGCCCCCUGGGCUAACACUGACGCUCAGGCACGAAAGCGUGGGGAGCAAACAGG
rnacentral:rRNA from 1 species